UUUUUUUUUUUUUUUUUUUUUUUUUUGCCAUGCCCAAGACAUGUGGAAGUUCCUGAGGCCAGGGAUUGAACCUGUACCACAGCAAUGACAAUGCUGGAUCCUUAGUCUGCUGAGCCACUAGGGAACUCCCAUUUUUGUCUAGUCUUAACCUAACUAUAGGACUCAUUAAAGUUUGCAUUUUUGUCAUACUAUUUUUUAUUUUUUUAUUUUAUUUUAUUUUUUUGUCUUUUUGCCAUUUCUUGGGCCGCACUCAUGGCAUAUGGAAGUUCCCAGGUAUUAGUACCUGAUUUCUCUAAGACUGAAGUCUGUCUUCUCUUACUCCCAAUCUACUCUGGAAUUGGAGCACCACUGCAGGGGAAAAAAAAAAGAAGUACUCAUCAGGGAUAAGACUCUAAAGUGAGUAAGGGCUAGGUGUCAGAGGUUAACUUGUUUUCCUAAGGACAUCUUCGACGAAACUGAUUCUGACUCAUAAUCUAGAUUAGCCUCAGUAGCUGAGGACAUGUAUAGUUGGGUAGAAUCAGGGAACGCAUCACCUUAGUUACUCAAAGAUUAAGUCUAUCAUAAGUCAGGAUUCUCAUGGCUGGUUUUAAAAUACAAUACUCAUAUUUUAAUGGCCAGAAUGUUUCCACUGCUAUAUUUAAUAUCUAUGCAGAUUAGAGGGGAAAAAUGAACUGUGCCCUCCCAUUGGCAUAGUUGUUGAUAGAAAAACAUUUUGGUGUCAAUAUAAAACAAAAAUAUUUGGGAUUUGGGGGCUAAACUUUAUUUCUAACUAAUACUAUUCAUGACCAGCUUUUUAUACCUAAAAGCCAGUGAUUGGCAGUUUGGGUACCUUUUCUUUUUUUCUUUUCUUUUUUUGGUAAUAGAAUUCCAACUGCCACAAAGAAAGGAGGAAUGGUGGAAAGACUGACUCCUCUUCUUCUCUAGCUCAGUGAGGCAUACUAUAUGAACACUCUCCAACUCAAAGAGACUCCAAUUUGAGUAUAACAUAAUGUUGUAUACUAUAGUAUGCAAUAUAUUUUCAUUUACACUUCAUUUCUGACAAGUCUACUCACCAAAUGCGUAGGUCUCCCCCAUUGCGCACUCGCGCACACACACACACACCCCCAAAGCAAUUCUCCAAUUCUCUACAAACACAAGCUGGGUAUCCUACAACUCAAUUAUGACACUAUCUACCUGGACACAACAUCAGAUCCCACAGGUUAAGGAUUCAGUUCCACAAGACUGCCUCUACUUCAGAUACCAAUCAGAAGUUCAGGUUGUUACCAACUGGCUUUAUUUGUUUAUUUUCUUUUUAGGGCUACACCUGCAGUAUACAGAAGUUACCAGGCUAGGGGCUGAAUCAGAGCUGCAGCUGCAGGGCUGUGCCAUAGCCACAGCAACUCGGAAUUUGAGCUGCAUCUGCAACCUAUGCCACAAUUUGAGGCAAAGCCAGAUCCUUGACCCAUUGAGCAAGGCCAGGAUAUCACAUCCUCAUGGAUACUAGUCAGGUUCUUAACCUGCUGAGUGACAACGAGAACUCCCUCAACUGGCUUUAAAUUGGAGGGUCCCACAAUCCCUUCCUUUCGUUUGAUUAAUUUGCUAGAAUGGCUCACAGCACUCAGGAAAACAGUUUACUUAAUAGAUAACUGGUUUAUCAGAAAAGAAUAUAUGAUGCAGGAACAGCAACAUAGAAGAGAUACACAGGGCAAGGUAUGGAAGAAGAAGCAUGGAGCUUCCAUGUGC
rnacentral:lncRNA from 1 species